rnacentral:rRNA from 1 species
ANNNNNAGGUNGGCGGAAUGCGUUGUGUAGCGGUGAAAUGCAUAGAUAUGACGCAGAACUCCGAUUGCGAAGGCAGCUUACCAACACUUUACGGACGCUGAGGCACGAAAGCGUGGGUAUCGAACAGGAUUAGAUACCCUGGUAGUCCACGCAGUAAACGAUGAAUACUAAUUGUUCGGGGGGCAACCCCUGAGUGAUACAGCGAAAGCGUUAAGUAUUCCACCUGGGGAGUACGCCGGCAACGGUGAAACUCAAAGGAAUUGACGGGGGCCCGCACAAGCGGAGGAACAUGUGGUUUAAUUCGAUGAUACGCGAGGAACCUUACCCGGGCUCAAACGUUGGGGGAAUGCUCCUGAAAGGGAGCAGCCAGCAAUGGUCGCCAACGAGGUGCUGCAUGGUUGUCGUCAGCUCGUGCCGUGAGGUGUCGGCUUAAGUGCCAUAACGAGCGCAACCCCUGCGUCCAGUUACCAUCAAGUCAUGUUGGGGACUCUGGACGGACUGCCGGCGCAAGCCGUGAGGAAGGCGGGGAUGACGUCAAAUCAGCACGGCCCUUACGUCCGGGGCGACACACGUGUUACAAUGGCGUGGAACAGCGGGAAGCCACCUGGCGACAGGGAGCGGACCCCUAAAACACGUCUCAGUUCGGAUUGGAGUCUGCAACUCGACUCCAUGAAGCUGGAUUCGCUAGUAAUCGCGCAUCAGCCAUGGCGCGGUGAAUACGUUCCCGGGCCUUGUACACACCGCCCGUCAAGCCAUGGGAGCCGGNNNNNNCUGAAGUACGUAACCGGAAGGAGCGUCCAAGGGUAACACUGGUGACUGGGGAUAGGUCGUAACAAGGUAACCA